GUUGUUGAAAUUUGUUGUCCAUAUAUCAUUUUCCAUCUUUCAUUUCUAACAAUUAAACAAAUUUUUUAAAUCUAUCACAUCAAUCAAAUCCUACACUAAUUCUCACAAACUUUACCCUCAAAUCCACUCUCAAUUACCCACAAAUCUACUCAAAAAAACAACAACAAAAUUACCCUCAAAUCCACUCAAAUCAUCCCCCCAAAUCAUCUCCCCCAAAUUCCUUCAUAAGAACACAGCGUAACUAAGAUGAUGUAAGACGUUAAUAAACAUUAAAAAACAAAAGGACCAAGUCUUUCCUUUUAUACUUACUAUAAAUGAAUCAAAGACAAAUUAU
rnacentral:lncRNA from 1 species